GUGCUCGCCUCAGCAGCAUAUACUAAAAUUGGAACAAUACAGAGAGGAUGAGCAUGGCCCCUACACAAGGAUGACAUGCGAAUUCAGAAGUAUUCCAUAUUUUG
ensembl:snRNA U6 U6 spliceosomal RNA